rnacentral:rRNA from 1 species
UGUGAACGCUGGCGGUAUGCUUUACACAUGCAAGUCGUACGGGAGUUUUGAACUCAAGUGGCGGACGGGUGAGUAACACGUAAGAAUUUGCCUUUAGGAGGGGGAUAACAGCUGGAAACAGUUGCUAAUACCCCAUAUGCUUUCGAGUGAAAUGGAUUUUUCCGCCUAGAGAGAAGCUUGCGGCUGAUUAGCUUGUUGGUAAGGUAAUGGCUUACCAAGGCGACGAUCAGUAUCUGGUUUGAGAGGACGAUCAGACACACUGGAACUGAGACACGGUCCAG